GCCUGACGGAGCAACGCCGCGUGAGGGAGGAAGGUCUUUGGAUUGUAAACCUCUUUUCUCAAGGAAGAAGACCUGACGGUACUUGAGGAAUAAGCCACGGCUAAUUCCGUGCCAGCAGCCGCGGUAAUACGGGAGUGGCAAGCGUUAUCCGGAAUUAUUGGGCGUAAAGCGUCCGCAGGUGGCCCUGUAAGUCUGUCGUUAAAGCGUGGAGCUUAACUCCAUUUAAGCGAUGGAAACUACAGGGCUAGAGUGUGGUAGGGGCAGAGGGAAUUCCCGGUGUAGCGGUGAAAUGCGUAGAUAUCGGGAAGAACACCAGUGGCGAAGGCGCUCUGCUGGGCCAUCACUGACACUCAUGGACGAAAGCCAGGGGAGCGAAAGGGAUUAGAUACCCCUGUAGUCCUGGCCGUAAACGAUGGACACUAGGUGUCGGGGGAAUCGACCCCCUCGGUGUCGUAGCCAACGCGUUAAGUGUUCCGCCUGGGGAGUACGCACGCAAGUGUGAAACUCAAAGGAAUUGACGGGGGCCCGCACAAGCGGUGGAGUAUGUGGUUUAAUUCGAUGCAACGCGAAGAACCUUACCAGGGUUUGACAUCCUGCGAAUCCCUUGGAAACGAGGGAGUGCCUUCGGGAGCGCAGAGACAGGUGGUGCAUGGCUGUCGUCAGCUCGUGUCGUGAGAUGUUGGGUUAAGUCCCGCAACGAGCGCAACCCACGUCGUUAGUUGCCAGCAUUCAGUUGGGCACUCUAGCGAGACCGCCGGUGAUAAACCGGAGGAAGGUGUGGAUGACGUCAAGUCAUCAUGCCCCUUACAUCCUGGGCUACACACGUACUACAAUGCUACGGACAAAGGGCAGCAAGCUCGCGAGAGUUAGCAAAUCCCAUAAACCGUGGCUCAGUUCAGAUCGUAGGCUGCAACUCGCCUACGUGAAGGAGGAAUCGCUAGUAAUCGCAGGUCAGCAUACUGCGGUGAAUACGU
rnacentral:rRNA from 1 species